rnacentral:lncRNA from 1 species
ACGGCGGCGGAGAGGCGGCCAGCGGCGGCGCGGCGGAGAGGCGGAUAGCGGCGGAGAGGCGGACAGCGGCGGCGCGGCGGAGAGACGGACAGCGGCGGAGAGGCGGACAGCGGCGGAGAGGCGGACAGCGGCGGCGCGGCGGAGAGACGGACAGCGGCGGAGAGGCGGACAGCGGCGGCGCGGCGGAGAGACGGAUAGCGGCGGAGAGGCGGACAGCGGCGGCGCGGCGGAGAGGCGGACAGCGGCGGAGAGGCGGACAGCGGCGGCGCGGCGGAGAGACGGACAGCGGCGGAGAGGCAGACAGCGGCGGCGAGGCGCGCAGCGGCGGCGCAGGCGCGGAGAGGCGCUGGCGCCGGCUCUGGCGCGGAGAGGUGCAGGCCCAGGCUCCACUCCCCAGCUGUGAAAGGGUGAAACGGAACCUACUGGAAUGAAGCUGGCCUCCCAUGGAAUGAAGCUGGCCUCCCGUCUCCUUGAUUUGAAGCAGCUUCUCCACGUUGGUUAUUAUGCCAUUUUUCUAAAUCUAACAUUUUAAAAUUUGUGCCUUUUCUUUCUCUUUUGCUUGACUUCUCAGAGGUUUUUUUAACGGUCUUUUCAAAGAAGUGGUUUUGGGUUUUAUUUAUCAAGUCUACUUUUAUUAUGGCUGUUUUAAAAUUAAAUACAUUUAUUUCUUGUUUCCCUUAAAAAAGCUUCUUGUAUGUUUACUUAGUUUAUAUAAUUUUAUAUGUCUUCUGUUGAAGCAUAUUAACAAACACUUCCAGCUAUAACGUUUCCCCUGAGAACUGCUUUGGACACAUCCAGAGAUUUUGAUAGGUCACACACUUAUUGUAGUUUGUUUCUGAAAAGUUUUUCAUUUUAGUUUUUAUUUUCUCUUUUACUCAAAUUAUCAUGAGCUUUCUCCUUUUAUCCUGUUUCUGACAAAUUAAUCUGAGGAUAUAAAUUUCUCCCUAAAUGUCAAUUUUGUUGAGUUUCAUAAUUUUAAUAUGUAAUACCCUAUUGCUAUUGAGUUCCAGGCAUUUUAUAAUUUUCAUUGUGAAAACUAACUUUGUUUCCAAAACACACUUUUUCUUCUU